CGCUGGCGGCGUGCCUAACACAUGCAAGUCGAACGGAGUUAUUUGACAGAUCCCUUCGGGGUGAUGGAUUUUAACUAGUGGCGGACGGGUGAGUAACGCGUGAGUAACCUGCCUUUGAGAGGGGAAUAACGUUCUGAAAAGAUCGCUAAUACCGCAUAACAUACAACUGUCGCAUGGCAGAGGUAUCAAAGAUUUUAUCGCUCAAAGAUGGACUCGCGUCCGAUUAGCUAGUUGGCGGGGUAACGGCCCACCAAGGCGACGAUCGGUAGCCGGACUGAGAGGUUGAUCGGCCACAUUGGGACUGAGACACGGCCCAGACUCCUACGGGAGGCAGCAGUGGGGGAUAUUGCGCAAUGGGGGGCCAACCCUGACGCAGCAACGCCGCGUGAAGGAAGACGGUUUUCGGAUUGUAAACUUCUUUUAUUAAGGACGAAGAAAUGACGGUACUUAAUGAAUAAGCUCCGGCUAACUACGUGCCAGCAGCGGC
rnacentral:rRNA from 1 species